GACGAACGCUGGCGGCGUGCCUAAUACAUGCAAGUCGAACGCUGAAGGAGGGGCUUGCUUCUCUGGAUGAGUUGCGAACGGGUGAGUAACGCGUAGGUAACCUGCCUGGUAGCGGGGGAUAACUAUUGGAAACGAUAGCUAAUACCGCAUAAUAGUAGAUGUUGCAUGACAUUUGCUUAAAAGGUGCAAUUGCAUCACUACCAGAUGGAACUGCGUUGUAUUAGCUAGUUGGUGGGGUAACGGCUCACCAAGGCGACGAUACAUAGCCGACCUGAGAGGGGGAUCGGCCACACUGGGACUGAGACACGGCCCAGACUCCUACGGGAGGCAGCAGUAGGGAAUCUUCGGCAAUAGACGGAAGUCUGACCGAGCAACGCCGCGGGAGGGAAGAAGGGUUUCGGAUCGUAAAGCUCUGUUGUAAGAGAAGAAAGAGUGUGAGAGUGGAAAGUUCACACUGUGACGGUAGCUUACCAGAAAGGGACGGCUAACUACGUG
rnacentral:rRNA from 1 species